CUACUACAGCAAUGAGUGCUUCGACCGGUUUAGGCCAUGGUUUUAACAGCAGCCCCAUCUGGCUGAAAUGGCAACCUUCUCCUUGUCAGCGUUCCACCUUCCUUAUCCUACGCGCUGCUUCCUCUCCCAACACUGGCAAAGGCAACAAGAAAAAACCCAAAGCUAAAAAAACUUCUCCUACUCCAACUCCUAUAACUACAACAACAACAACUACUACUUCUACUGAAUCUAUUUCACAAGACCAACCGCAACAACAACAGCAGCAAGUUUCGUUAAGUUUGGAUGACGUCAAC
rnacentral:lncRNA from 1 species